rnacentral:rRNA from 1 species
AUGGUCCAAAUACUGUCCCUCAUACACAACAGAGAUGGUAGGCUGAGUAGCAUGCCCUACAUACCAGCAGACAUCACAAACCUAAAGGAAAAGUACCAUAGAGAGAGCAGGUUGGCUGACAUAGAAGACACGAUAGCCUACUUCGAUGGGAAAGCAAAAGCAGAUCCAGAUUUCUUCUAUAGGAUAAGAUUGGACGAUGAGGACCGUGUCAGGAACACGUAUUGGGUGGAUGGUGCUACAGGAAGAGCCUACAAACAUUUUCGAGAUUGCAUUUCGUUCGACGCGACAUAUCUCACUAAUAUGUACAAGAUGUCGUGCGCUCCAUUCAUAGGAAUAAAUAACCACAAUUAG